CCUACGGGAGGCAGCAGUGAGGAAUAUUGGUCAAUGGGCGGAAGCCUGAACCCGCCAAGUAGCGUGCAGGAUGACGGCCCUACGGGUUGUAAACUGCUUUUAUCCGGGAAUAACGCGCCUUACGUGUAGGGCUUUGCAUGUACCGUAUGAUAAAGGACCGGCUAAUUCCGUGCCAGCAGCCGCGGUAAUACGGAAGGUCCGGGCGUUAUCCGGAUUUAUGGGGUUUAAAGGGAGCGUAGGCCGCAUGUCAAGCGUGCUGUGAAAUGUCCGGGCGCAACCCGGGCCUUGCAGCGCGAACUGGCGUGCUUGAGUCGGCGGAAAGCAGGCGGAAUUCGUCGUGUAGCGGUGAAAUGCUUAGAUAUGACGAAGAACCCCGAUUGCGAAGGCAGCUUGCUGCAGCGGAACUGACGCUGAUGCUCGAAAGCGCGGGUAUCGAACAGGAUUAGAUACCCUUGUAGUC
rnacentral:rRNA from 1 species